GGCGCUUACCCGGCUGCAGAGGGCGAGGAGGACCACGAAGGCGACGCGGACGGGGCCCAUACUGGCGGCGGUCAUGGUUGGCACUGCGGGCGGAGCGGAGGGCGCGGUGGCGGCGAGCGGGGAGCGGCGGGGCCUGGAGCGCUGGCGGUGGUCGGAGACAGAGUCUUGCUCUGUUGCCAGAUUGGAGUGAAGUGGCGCGAUCUCAGCUCACUGCACCCUCUGACUCCCUGAUUCAAGUGAUGCUCCUGCCUCAGACUCCCAAGUAUUUCCUAUAUCUUCCUGUCUUUUCCAUGGCCAAAAAUGAUCAAGUAAAGAACAUUAAAGAAGAAAUAAAUUACUACAUAUUAAAAAAUACAUACUGUAAGAUGUUCUUUGUACAAAAAUGUGACAACUUCAAUAAGAGUAACUUGGACAACCUGAGGCAUUAAUUGAGGAUCAAUAUGAUGACUUUACAUUGAGAAUCACAUAUACCCUCUGAAUAAAUUUAAAAAAUGAAAUUUUUUAAUUUUCAUUAAAAAUUAAAUUUUUUUGAGUGAUGAAAAUACUCAAUCACAUUAUUUUCAAAUUGUUGAUAAGCAUGGAAAUUAUCAGAGAACCAGAAUAUUCAAGGUUUAUCUUUCCUGUUUUUGUCUUAAAUCACAACUAUGUGUUAAAUAAUUUGUAUGACCUAUUUCAGUGGCAGUAGGUUAAAUAAAAUUCUGUUUGUAUCUCC
rnacentral:lncRNA from 1 species